UACGAAGGGUGCAAGCGUUACUCGGAAUUACUGGGCGUAAAGCGUGCGUAGGUGGUGAGUUAAGUCUGUCGUGAAAGCCCCGGGCUCAACCUGGGAAUGGCGAUGGAUACUGGCUCGCUAGAGUGCGGUAGAGGAGAGUGGAAUUCCCGGUGUAGCAGUGAAAUGCGUAGAGAUCGGGAGGAACAUCAGUUGCGAAGGCGGCUGCCUGGGCCAGUUCUGACGCUGAGGCGCGAAAGCGUGGGGAGCAAACAGG
rnacentral:rRNA from 1 species